GACGAACGCUGGCGGCGUGCUUAACACAUGCAAGUCGAACGGAAAGGCCCUGCUUUUGUGGGGUGCUCGAGUGGCGAACGGGUGAGUAACACGUGAGUAACCUGCCAUUGACUUUGGGAUAACUUCAGGAAACUGGGGCUAAUACCGGAUAGGAGCUCCUGCUGCAUGGUGGGGGUUGGAAAGUUUCGGCGGUUGGGGAUGGACUCGCGGCUUAUCAGCUUGUUGGUGGGGUAGUGGCUUACCAAGGCUUUGACGGGUAGCCGGCCUGAGAGGGUGACCGGCCACAUUGGGACUGAGGUACGGCCCAGACUCCUACGGGAGGCAGCAGUGGGGAAUAUUGCACAAUGGGCGGAAGCCUGAUGCAGCAACGCCGCGUGCGGGAUGACGGCCUUCGGGUUGUAAACCGCUUUCGCCUGUGACGAAGCGUGAGUGACGGUAAUGUGUAAAGAAGCACCGGCUAACUACGUG
rnacentral:rRNA from 1 species